rnacentral:rRNA from 1 species
AUACGGAGGAUGCGAGCGUUAUCCGGAUUUAUCGGGUUUAAAGGGUGCGUAGGCGGAAAGUUAAGUCAGCGGUGAAACGCAGGUGCUCAACACCUGACCUGCCGUUGAGACUGGUUUUCUAGAAUGCGGAUGCUGUGGGAGGAAUGUGUGGUGUAGCGGUGAAAUGCAUAGAUAUCACACAGAACACCGAUUGCGAAGGCAUCUCACAAAUCCGCGAUUGACGCUGAGGCACGAAGGUGCGGGGAUCGAACAGGAUUAGAUACCCUGGUAGUCCGCACAGUAAACGAUGAUAACUCGCUGUCGGCGAUAGACAGUCGGUGGCCAAGCGAAAGCGAUAAGUUAUCCACCUGGGGAGUACGACCGCAAGGUUGAAACUCAAAUGAAUUGACGGGG